rnacentral:lncRNA from 1 species
GGAGUCAAAAGUUGUUUUUAACGAUUUUAUGCUUGUUUUGCAUUGUUUUGUAGCUAAUUUGAGAAAAGUAAAGAAUGGAGUUAAAGAUACAGGUCGUUGAGUCAAGAAAAGAGCAGAAAAAUGAAGAUUUGAAGAGUCAACGCACCGCCGGGCGGCACACUUAAACCGUUAGGCGGUCCAGGCGAGGAAUAGGCACCUGGCGUUGGCACUGGGCGGAUUUGCGAUUUGAUGGAAAUCGUCGGGCGGUAGACCCCUACCGCCGGGCAGUAGCCCGAUUUGUGGCAAACCGCCGGGCGGCACACUUAAACCGCCCAACGGUGGCUCGCUGGACUUGGGCCCAUUUUCUGAUGCGCACCUCACCUAUAUAUACCCC